rnacentral:rRNA from 1 species
AGCGAACGCUGGCGGCAGGCCUAACACAUGCAAGUCGAACGGACCUUUCGGGGUUAGUGGCGGACGGGUGAGUAACACGUGGGAACGUGCCUUUAGGUUCGGAAUAGCUCCUGGAAACGGGUGGUAAUGCCGAAUGUGCCCUUCGGGGGAAAGACUUAUCGCCUUUAGAGCGGCCCGCGUCUGAUUAGCUAGUUGGUUGAGGUAACGGCUCACCAAGGCGACGAUCAGUAGCUGGUCUGAGAGGAUGGCCAGCCACAUUGGGACUGAGACACGGCCCAAACUCCUACGGGAGGCAGCAGUGGGGAAUCUUGCGCAAUGGGCGAAAGCCUGACGCAGCCAUGCCGCGUGAAUGAUGAAGGUCUUAGGAUUGUAAAAUUCUUUCACCGGGGACGAUAAUGACGGUACCCGGAGAAGAAGCCCCGGCUAACUUCGUG